rnacentral:rRNA from 1 species
AUGAGGUUCGACUUCGAGUCCGAUGAGCUCGGGAAGGAGAAGACGGUCGGUACUGUGGAGGAGCGCGACCUGUUCGUCUGCUACAUGGGCCCUGAGGCGUGGCCGUCCCACCUCGAGGCCACCAAGUCCGACCGCCUCCCCCACCUCCUCGCCGCCGCCAUCAAGGCCCGCAAGCCCGAGAUGAUGAAAUCGACUGAACUCACCAUCUGUGAAGAAGAAGGCACUGAGUCAUCUCUUGGAGACGUGUUGAUCUUUCCUGAUAUGAUCCGAUACAGAGGGUUGACAUGCUCUAAUGUCAACACUUUUGUUGAAGAAGUACUCAUGAAAGAUGCUGAUUGGCAUGAUGGAUUUCUUGAGGCUAUAAGAGGUUCCUAUGUUUUUGUCUGCUGCCAUGAAAGCAAGGAUAGUAAGUGUGGUGCUUCUGGUCCUGCUUUGAUUAGAAAGUUCAAGGAAGGAAUCGAAGCUCAAGGUCUUGGACCUCAGGUUAUUGUUAGAGCUUGUUCUCACUUGGGAGGUCAUGAAUGCUUAGGGACCGUCAUCAUAUUCAGUUCAGAUGCCAAGGGAGAAGUGACUGGUCAUUGGUAUGGUUAUGUUUCUCCUGACGAUGUGAAUUUGUUGCUGAAUAAACAUAUGAGACAGAAUGAAACAGGGGAUCAUAUACGGAGGGGUCAGUUGGGUUUGUCUGAAGAGCAGCAUCUGGAAGAUUUGGAGCUUAAGCGCGUGAAAAAUGGUAUUACUGUGCUCAAGAAGGCAGGGACAGGGACAGGAGAGGAGGACAAUUUGAUGUGCAGUCUUCAGGACAUCAUGGACCUUAGUCCCGAAGUAGAGAACUUAGAAUUCGAUUCCUCAAAAAUGAAAGAGACAGAUGCCAUGUAUUUGGCUGCUUUAGCAGGGGAUGGAGUGCCGCAGCAGGUCCCUCCUUGCCCGGACGCAAUUAGCUCUGAAUCGAGGUCAGAAGUGGAGGUGCCGCUGCAGCAGGCCCCUUCCCACCAGACCGCAAUUAUUCCUCAAAAUGCAAAUAGUGAGAAUGGAGCAGCAGAAAUGAAUGGGCACAAUACAGAUGGGCUAGAAGAAGAGAAUGGAAGGAGUGCUGCUGAUAAGACCAUUCUUCAGAGGUCAGAAGUGGAGGCGCCGCUGCAGCAGGCCCCUUCCCACCAGAUCGCAAUUACUCCUGAAAAUGCAAAUAAUGAGAUUGAAGCAGCAGAAGUGAAUGGGCACAAUACAGAUGGGCUAGAAGAAGAGAAUGGAAGGAGUGAAGUUCAGCUCUCAACUCCUCUGCAGAAAAAGGCUCAGCCAAGUGAUCAAGUGGUCUGGACUGGCUCCGCCCAGUCGUUUGUAGCAAACCUCCUGAAACCCAUCCAAGUCAAGCCAGAAAGCUUUGAACCGGAAGCCCUUGAACCUCUGCCCUACCAUCAACGGGCAAUGACUGAACAUAUACAGGAUCCUAAUGCAGCUGAUCCCACUGGUCUGAGAAAUGAUAUUAUCAAGAAGAAGUUUCUUAUACCGGAAGAUUUUAAUGGUGAGGCAGUUCUUGAUCGUUCGGACGUGCACAAAGUUCGUACCGCACAAGAGUUGCGAAACAUCAUUGAAAACACUAGUGGCUGGCUAUCAGCCAGAAUUACUAAAGCAUUGCUAGUAAAUGGGAGUGUUUUUCAAAUACCAGUUCACAUGGUCAUCGAUAAAACCUAUAGAAAGAGCGGCGCUGUAUGCGUGGUGCGCGGGGAAGAACUCCCGCAUGUUCCUGUAGAAACUAGUCUGUACACUCAUAGUCUUACUGCUGUACUGGCAGAGCGGCGACCCCAAUAUUCCCACAUCUCCGACAUGGUGAUCGAGAAGCAUGACUUCAGAGGCAAUUUAUGGGCCCGUAGAAGGUACUCGCUUCAAGGUGAUAAUGAAUACCAUGUUCUGCAGUGGCUCCCAAAGGUGGUAGAAGAUACCAAGGCAAUCAAGGUGAAUCUGGAGAUGAAAACACAGCAAGCUGAGGAAGCUCCAGCAGAUGAUUUUUCAAUCAAAAAAUGCAUCGCUGUGGUGAAGACAAUAGAAGAAUUGUCAACUGAUGAGAAGUUGCAGUCCGAAGAACUGACCUUCACUUCUUGUACACAACUGUCACUCAGGGCCUUCUUCCGGUUGGAUUGCGAGCGUACUGGGGGACGGUGCUCUGGACAAGGAGCUCCUGUGUUGGAACGUGAGUGGCUAGGAUUCAAGGCCGCGUCUCCGACGGGUGGCAGCCGUCGUGACCGCGUCGUCGGGCUACUGGGCUGUGGCCCGGUGCUCCUGUUGGCGCGUCGGGGCGGGGUGGCGGCCCCCCCUUCCGGCCUUUGGUGUCUCCUCCGUCCGCGGGCCGGCUGCUGCCGGCCUUGGGUGGCCUCUGCGACGAUGCUGCAGCUGGGGGUCGCCGGAUCUGGUCGUCCUGGCUGGGUUCGGCUCGUCGGAUCUGGUCGGCGUCUUCCGACGGCGAGGUGGAUGGCUCCGGCAUGGUGGUGGCGCCGCCACGGCGCCGGGGGUGUGCGGUUCAGCGGAUAUGCGGAUCAGCUGCCGGUGGCUGGUUGCGUGGGGGUGUGGAGGCCAGUGCUCCGGGUGUUUGCCUGCGUGGCUUCUGCCGACGCCGACGACGUGGCGCCCGUGGGCGUCGUUCUUCCUUCCUGA